rnacentral:rRNA from 1 species
UACAGAGGUCUCAAGCGUUGUUCGGAUUCAUUGGGCGUAAAGGGGGCGUAGGCGGCGCGGUAAGUCGGGUGUGAAAUCUCGGAGCUUAACUCCGAAACUGCAUUCGAUACUGACGUGCUUGAGGACUGGAGAGGAGACUGGAAUUUACGGUGUAGCGGUGAAAUGCGUAGAUAUCGUAAGGAAGACCAGUGGCGAAGGCGGGUCUCUGGACAGUUCCUGACGCUGAGGCACGAAGGCCAGGGGAGCAAACGGG